rnacentral:tRNA from 1 species
UCCGAAGUAGCUCAGUUGCGGGAGCGUUACAUUAUAGAUCAAAAGGUCCCUGGUUCGAUCCCGGGUUUCAUCA